rnacentral:rRNA from 1 species
UACGUAGGCAGCAAGCGUUGUUCGGAGUUACUGGGCGUAAAGGGUGUGUAGGCGGUUGGAUAAGUGUGGUGUGAAAUCUCCCGGCUCAACUGGGAGGGUGCGCUACAAACUGUCUGACUAGAGUGUGGGAUGGGUAAGUGGAAUUCCUGGUGUAGCGGUGAAAUGCGUAGAUAUCAGGAGGAACACCGGUUGUGUAGACGGCUUACUGGACCACAACUGACGCUGAGGCGCGAAAGCUAGGGGAGCAAACAGG